CUACGGCGGCAGCAGUGGGGAAUCUUAGACAAUGGGCGCAAGCCUGAUCUAGCCAUGCCGCGUGAGUGACGAAGGCCUUAGGGUCGUAAAGCUCUUUCGCUGGGGAAGAUAAUGACGGUACCCAGUAAAGAAACCCCGGCUAACUCCGUGCCAGCAGCCGCGGUAAUACGGAGGGGGUUAGCGUUGUUCGGAAUUACUGGGCGUAAAGCGCGCGUAGGCGGAUCAGAAAGUUGGGGGUGAAAUCCCGGGGCUCAACCCCGGAACUGCCUUCAAAACUCCUGGUCUUGAGUUCGAGAGAGGUGAGUGGAAUUCCGAGUGUAGAGGUGAAAUUCGUAGAUAUUCGGAGGAACACCAGUGGCGAAGGCGGCUCACUGGCUCGAUACUGACGCUGAGGUGCGAAAGCGUGGGGAGCAAACAGGAUUAGAUACCCGAGUAGUC
rnacentral:rRNA from 1 species